AGCGUAUAUUAAAGUUGUUGCAGUUAAAAAGCUCGUAGUUGAAUUUCGGGAUUAGUACGUUGGUCGUGCCUUCGGUACGUACUGGUGUUACUGAUUCCUACCUUCUGACGAACCAUCAUGUCAUUAAUUUGGUGUGGCGGGGAAUCAGGACUGUUACUUUGAAAAAAUUAGAGUGCUUAAAGCAGGCUCGCGCUUGAAUACAUUAGCAUGGAAUAAUGAAAUAGGACGUUGAUCCUAUUUUGUUGGUUUCUAGGAUUGACGUAAUGAUUAAUAGGGAUAGUUGGGGGCAUUAGUAUUCAAUUGUCAGAGGUGAAAUUCUUGGAUUUAUUGAAGACUAACUACUGCGAAAGCAUUUGCCAAGGAUGUUUUCAUUAAUCAAGAACGAAAGUUAGGGGAUCGAAGACGAUCAGAUACCGUCGUAGUCUUAACCAUAAAC
rnacentral:rRNA from 1 species